GACGAAGGAGGCUAGCGUUGUUCGGAAUUACUGGGCGUAAAGCGCGUGUAGGCGGUUGUCCAAGUUGGAUGUGAAAGCCUUGAGCUUAACUCAAGAAAUGCAUUCAGGACUGGAUGACUAGAGGACCGGAGAGGAUAGUGGAAUUCCCAGUGUAGUGGUGAAAUACGUAGAGAUUGGGAAGAACACCAGUGGCGAAGGCGGCUAUCUGGACGGUUUCUGACGCUAAGACGCGAAAGCGUGGGGAGCAAACAGG
rnacentral:rRNA from 1 species